ACGAACGCUGGCGGCGUGCUUAACACAUGCAAGUCGAACGGAAAGGCCCUGCUUUUGUGGGGUGCUCGAGUGGCGAACGGGUGAGUAACACGUGAGUAACCUGCCCUUGACUUUGGGAUAACUUCAGGAAACUGGGGCUAAUACCGGAUAGGAGCUCCUGCUGCAUGGUGGGGGUUGGAAAGUUUCGGCGGUUGGGGAUGGACUCGCGGCUUAUCAGCUUGUUGGUGGGGUAGUGGCUUACCAAGGCUUUGACGGGUAGCCGGCCUGAGAGGGUGACCGGCCACAUUGGGACUGAGAUACGGCCCAGACUCCUACGGGAGGCAGCAGUGGGGAAUAUUGCACAAUGGGCGGAAGCCUGAUGCAGCAACGCCGCGUGCGGGAUGACGGCCUUCGGGUUGUAAACCGCUUUCGCCUGUGACGAAGCGUGAGUGACGGUAAUGGGUAAAGAAGCACCGGCUAACUACGUGCCAGCAGCCGCGGUGAUACGUAGGGUGCGAGCGUUGUCCGGAUUUAUUGGGCGUAAAGGGCUCGUAGGUGGUUGAUCGCGUCGGAAGUGUAAUCUUGGGGCUUAACCCUGAGCGUGCUUUCGAUACGGGUUGACUUGAGGAAGGUAGGGGAGAAUGGAAUUCCUGGUGGAGCGGUGGAAUGCGCAGAUAUCAGGAGGAACACCAGUAGCGAAGGCGGUUCUCUGGGCCUUUCCUGACGCUGAGGAGCGAAAGCGUGGGGAGCGAACAGGCUUAGAUACCCUGGUAGUCCACGCUGUAAACGGUGGGUACUAGGUGUGGGGUCCAUUCCACGGGUUCCGUGCCGUAGCUAACGCUUUAAGUACCCCGCCUGGGGAGUACGGCCGCAAGGCUAAAACUCAAAGGAAUUGACGGGGCCCCGCACAAGCGGCGGAGCAUGCGGAUUAAUUCGAUGCAACGCGUAGAACCUUACCUGGGUUUGACAUGGAUCGGGAGUGCUCAGAGAUGGGUGUGCCUCUUUUGGGGUCGGUUCACAGGUGGUGCAUGCCUGUCGUCAGCUCGUGUCGUGAGAUGUUGGGUUAAGUCCCGCAACGAGCGCAACCCUUGUUCACUGUUGCCAGCACGUUAUGGUGGGGACUCAGUGGAGACCGCCGGGGUCAACUCGGAGGAAGGUGGGGAUGACGUCAAGUCCUCAUGCCCCUUAUGUCCAGGGCUUCACGCAUGCUACAAUGGCUGGUACAGAGAGUGGCGAGCCUGUGAGGGUGAGCGAAUCUCGGAAAGCCGGUCUCAGUUCGGAUUGGGGUCUGCAACUCGACCUCAUGAAGUCGGAGUCGCUAGUAAUCGCAGAUCAGCAACGCUGCGGUGAAUACGUUCCCGGGGCUUGUACACACCGCCCGUCAAGUCAUGAAAGUUGGUAACACCCGAAGCCGGUGGCCUAACCGUUGUGGGGGAGCCGUCGAAGGUGGGACUGGUGAUUAGGACUAAGU
rnacentral:rRNA from 1 species